GGUUGGCUGAUGGCCGCG
rnacentral:misc_RNA from 1 species